rnacentral:sRNA from 1 species
CGCUUCAUCGCUUGCGGGUGCUUGAGAGUCCCGGGUGAUGAGCAAAACAGGUUCUCCUGGCGUGUCUUGGUGCAGCAGGUGCUCCCUCCCUCAUCUGUAUGCGAUACGCCCCCCUUGCCUCGCUCGUCCAUGACCAGCGAGGCAUUUU